AAAAUAAAGUUUAGGGACCUAUUUGCAAUUAAACCUGAGAUCCAAUUGAAAGAAGUUGAAAGUUUUUAGGGCCACAGUAUAAUGAAUGAAAAGUACAGGGACUGAUCUGUAAAUUCAUUUUCUGGUUCUAGAACAAACUGGCAAUUGGGCCAUUUUUAACUUCUUCUUGGGCCAAGACCACUUGGCCUGAUCGGAAGUCCAAAAUACUGGAAUGGGUUAACCCAUUUUUACCAAAUAAAACCCAACCAAAUUAAUCAACAACUCAAUCCUAAAACCCAACCAAAAGCUUUGAAUUUAAACCUUCCAAAGUCCAACAAGAAACCCAAACAAACAUUGUUAAAUCCACUUCUCAA
rnacentral:lncRNA from 1 species